rnacentral:rRNA from 1 species
UACGAAGGGGGCGAGCGUUGUUCGGAAUUACUGGGCGUAAAGGGCGCGUAGGCGGCCGAUCAAGUUAGAUGUGAAAGUCCUGGGCUUAACCUGGGGACUGCAUUUGAUACUGAUUGGCUUGAAUUCGGGAGAGGAUAGCGGAAUUCCCAGUGUAGAGGUGAAAUUCGUAGAUAUUCGCAAGAACACCAGUGGCGAAGGCGGCUCACUGGCCCGAUACUGACGCUGAGGUGCGAAAGCGUGGGGAGCAAACAGG